ACCUACGGGGCGCAGCAGGGAAUCUUCCACAAUGGGCGAAAGCCUGAUGGAGCAACGCCGCGUGGGUGAAGAAGGUCUUCGGAUCGUAAAACCCUGUUGUUCGAGAAGAAAGUGCGUGAGAGUAACUGUUCACGUUUCGACGGUAUCUAACCAGAAAGCCACGGCUAACUACGUGCCAGCAGCCGCGGUAAUCCGUAGGUGGCAAGCGUUAUCCGGAUUUAUUGGGCGUAAAGGGAACGCAGGCGGUCUUUUAAGUCUGAUGUGAAAGCCUUCGGCUUAACCGGAGUAGUGCAUUGGAAAAUGGG
rnacentral:rRNA from 1 species